rnacentral:rRNA from 1 species
UAACACAUGCAAGUCGAGCGGUAAGGCCCUUCGGGGUACACGAGCGGCGAACGGGUGAGUAACACGUGGGUGAUCUGCCUCGCACUCUGGGAUAAGCCUGGGAAACUGGGUCUAAUACCGGAUAUGACCAUGGGAUGCAUGUCUUGUGGUGGAAAGGUUUACUGGUGCGAGAUGGGCCCGCGGCCUAUCAGCUUGUUGGUGGGGUAACGGCCUACCAAGGCGACGACGGGUAGCCGACCUGAGAGGGUGAUCGGCCACACUGGGACUGAGACACGGCCCAGACUCCUACGGGAGGCAGCAGUGGGGAAUAUUGCACAAUGGGCGGAAGCCUGAUGCAGCGACGCCGCGUGAGGGAUGACGGCCUUCGGGUUGUAAACCUCUUUCGACAGGGACGAAGCGCAAGUGACGGUACCUGUAGAAGAAGCACCGGCCAACUACGUGCCAGCAGCCGCGGUAAUACGUAGGGUGCGAGCGUUGUCCGGAAUUACUGGGCGUAAAGAGCUUGUAGGCGGUUUGUCGCGUCGAUUGUGAAAUCUUGCAGCUCAACUGCAAGCCUGCAGUCGAUACGGGCAGACUAGAGUACUUCAGGGGAGACUGGAAUUCCUGGUGUAGCGGUGAAAUGCGCAGAUAUCAGGAGGAACACCGGUGGCGAAGGCGGGUCUCUGGGAAGUAACUGACGCUGAGAAGCGAAAGCGUGGGUAGCGAACAGGAUUAGAUACCCUGGUAGUCCACGCCGUAAACGGUGGGUACUAGGUGUGGGUUUCCUUCCACGGGAUCCGUGCCGUAGCUAACGCAUUAAGUACCCCGCCUGGGGAGUACGGCCGCAAGGCUAAAACUCAAAGGAAUUGACGGGGGCCCGCACAAGCGGCGGAGCAUGUGGAUUAAUUCGAUGCAACGCGAAGAACCUUACCUGGGUUUGACAUACACCGGAAACCUGCAGAGAUGUAGGCCCCCUUGUGGUCGGUGUACAGGUGGUGCAUGGCUGUCGUCAGCUCGUGUCGUGAGAUGUUGGGUUAAGUCCCGCAACGAGCGCAACCCUUAUCUUAUGUUGCCAGCGCGUAAUGGCGGGGACUCGUGAGAGACUGCCGGGGUCAACUCGGAGGAAGGUGGGGACGACGUCAAGUCAUCAUGCCCCUUAUGUCCAGGGCUUCACACAUGCUACAAUGGCCGGUACAGAGGGCUGCGAUACCGUGAGGUGGAGCGAAUCCCUUAAAGCCGGUCUCAGUUCGGAUCGGGGUCUGCAACUCGACCCCGUGAAGUUGGAGUCGCUAGUAAUCGCAGAUCAGCAACGCUGCGGUGAAUACGUUCCCGGGCCUUGUACACACCGCCCGUCACGUCAUGAAAGUCGGU